AGAACGAACGCUGGCGGCAUGCCUAACACAUGCAAGUCGAACGCUCACCGGGCUUCGGUUCGGUGGGAGUGGCGCACGGGUGAGUAGCGCGUGGGAACCUGCCCUGUUGUGGGGGAUAACCGAGGGAAACUUCGGCUAAUACCGCAUGCGCCCGGGGAAACCCGGGGAAAGAUUUAUCGCAGCAGGAGGGGCCCGCGUCGGAUUAGGUAGUUGGUAGGGUAACGGCCUACCAAGCCUUUGAUCCGUAGCUGGUCUGAGAGGAUGAUCAGCCACACUGGGACUGAGACACGGCCCAGACUCCUACGGGAGGCAGCAGUGGGGAAUAUUGGACAAUGGGCGCAAGCCUGAUCCAGCCAUGCCGCGUGAGUGAUGACGGCCUUAGGGUUGUAAAGCUCUUUCGCUCGGGACGAUAAUGACGGUACCGAGAUAAGAAGCCCGGCUAACUUCGUGCCAGCAGCCGC
rnacentral:rRNA from 1 species